rnacentral:rRNA from 1 species
CGUAGGGUGCGAGCGUUAAUCGGAAUUACUGGGCGUAAAGCGUGCGCAGGCGGUGAUGUAAGACAGGUGUGAAAUCCCCGGGCUUAACCUGGGAACUGCAUUUGUGACUGCAUCGCUGGAGUGCGGCAGAGGGGGAUGGAAUUCCGCGUGUAGCAGUGAAAUGCGUAGAUAUGCGGAGGAACACCGAUGGCGAAGGCAAUCCCCUGGGCCUGCACUGACGCUCAUGCACGAAAGCGUGGGGAGCAAACAGGAUUAGAUACCCUGGUAGUCCACGCCCUAAACGAUGUCAACUGGUUGUUGGGUCUUCACUGACUCAGUAACGAAGCUAACGCGUGAAGUUGACCGCCUGGGGAGUACGGCCGCAAGGUUG